GAUGAAGAACGCAGCGAAAUGCGAUACGUAAUGUGUAUUGCAGAAUUCAGUGAAUCAUCGAGUCUUUGAACGCACAUUGCGCCCCCUGGUAUUCCGGGGGGCAUGCCUGUCCGAGCGUCAUUGCUGCCCUCAAGCACGGCUUGUGUGUUGGGCCUCCGUCCUCCUCCCGGGGGACGGGCCCGAAAGGCAGCGGCGGCACCGCGUCCGGUCCUCGAGCGUAUGGGGCUUCGUCACCCGCUCUUGUAGGCCCGGCCGGCGCUUGCCGACACAUCAAUCUUUUUUCCAGGUUGACCUCGGAUCAGGUAGGGAUACCCGCUGAACUUAAGCAUAUCAAUAAGCGGAGGA
rnacentral:misc_RNA from 1 species